rnacentral:rRNA from 1 species
GACCCCAGGUCAGGCGGGACUACCCGCUGAGUUUAAGCAUAUCAAUAAGCAGAGGAA